UCAGCUGGCGGGUUUUGUUAUCGACAUGUUUCGCACGCCGAUGAUAGAUUUUCUUUACCUUGGGUGUAGCUUAUCUUGGUCUCAUGCUUUAUGUGUAGAAGAUUCGUGAUGAAGAAAAUUUUAACCCCACUGAGUUCAAGGGCUCAACUGCUGAGUUACCAGUCCCGACUUUGGUAAACCCUUUUCCUGCUAGGAUUAUGCCUUCUGCGAUGUUGAGCA
rnacentral:misc_RNA from 1 species